AGUUGGUGCUCAACCUGUGUGGGCUUCUGGCAUCACUGAGGUGUCUGUGCCUGGCACGGCUGGCCAUAGCCUCCUUUAGAGCACAGCCUACUGCAUCGCAAGCCCUCUCCUUUGGCGACCAGUUGGUUGUUGCCCUGGUGGAACUGGCUCCUCACACAUCCUGGCUCUCAGGCCUUCCAACAGCUGCUGCGGAGACUUGAUUCUUUCCUUUGGGCUGUGUUCACUGGGUCAUGACACUGGGGUCUGCAUGGGAAAGGUCUCUGCAAUUGCUGGGAAACUGUGUCCCUUCAUGCCUUGAGCCCAGAUCCUCCAACGGACAACAGUGGACAGGGACUGAACCUGGAAAGUGGAGGCAGAGGCAAAUACUUUUGGAAGUAAAUACUUCUGCUCAGUCCUUUUGUGACUCUCUGCCUUGUAAUUCUUUUUGGGUUGAGAGAAGAACCUGUCAGCUGGGAGGUAACAAAAGGAUCUGCACAGCUGCGAUCUUGCCUCAUCGAAGUUGCCAACCCUUAUGGGCGGCCGUCACCACGUUUGCUAAUCUGCUUGGUUCCUCUUUCGGGCAUGUGCCUUUCCCUCCUCGUUCCCGUGGCUUCGUGGAAGUGGACCGGGGCCUAGAGGGUGACUAAGAGGGGAAGCCCCUGUGCUGCGAGGCUCCCAGCAGCUCCUGGAUUGCGUAAGGGCUAUUUUGGAGGAGAUUGCAGACGCUCUGAUGAAUCAUCGCAAGCGCACAUGGCUCAGCGGGGGCCAGUCCUUCCUCCUGCUGCUCAUGUGGAAAGUAGAGCUUCUCAAAAUGAAUCAGCAGUGCCUGAACCCCAGGCCUACCGUGGGAGGAGCGUGGCUGUGCAAAUCACACAUUUCCAGAGUAUUGGGGUGCGGCCUGUGGGUCCGGGAGUGGGGGCAGCAGGAGCCCAAGUCUUUGGUUCCUGAAUGACUCAAAGGGCCUCUCUCACCCACCUGAGCCAGCCACCUGCACUCACCACACUGGUCACUGUGGAACAGUCACUUGCACUUACCGAGUGGGCGUGGCCAGCAGAGCUGCUUUCAAAUGGAGACACACAGGGUCUGAAUCCAGAAGUCCUGGAGGCUUCUCCUUCCCCGGGAGCCCCAAGUGAGAAACAUCUAAUACAUGUUAGGCAGUGGGGAGGCCCGCCUUGCUCCCUCAAGUUCAGAGGCAGAGCCCAGUGGUGGCUGGAAGUGUCCAGGCUUUGGAACUGGGCAGUACUGGGCUUGAGGCCCAAAUCCAAUGGAGUGACAAGGAGCAAGUCCCCAGACAGCUGGGCCUCAGUGCUCUCUUUUGUAAAACCAGGAAAUAAGAUCUUCCCUCUGAGGCUGCCAUUAAGAACACACGGGGUUUACACAAAGGCAGUGGGGUGCAGAUGCUGAACAUGCAGGUUCUAUAGCCAGGGGUUUAGUCUUUGGUCCACUACUCACUAGCUGUGUCCUGGGACAAGUUACUUAAGUGUUCUGGGCACCUGUUUCCUUGUCUUUAAAUGAGGAUGACAGAGUAAUGCCUUCCCCACAGAGUCAGUGAAUAGGCUCAGAGGUGCAAAAUGGAGAGUGUCUGGGACAUAAUGAGACUCAGUAAGUGUGAGCUGAGCUGUUGCUGUGUAAAGUGAGUCUUAUAGAAAGUUACCAUGGAUUUAUUAUGGUCAUUUAUUAUUUAUUAUUAUUAUUUAAAAUGGUAGUUGUGUGGUUGUCAUCCUCAUCAUCGUCAUCACCACCAUCACCAUCAUUAUCAUCGUUUUUCUCCUGAGAGCUGGAGUGGGUUUAGAUAGGAGCUGGAGCAUCGGGGUAUCCUGGGGAAGGAAAACAGAAGCAGCUGUGGGAUUACACUGGAGCCUCCUUUAUAAUUCUGCUUGGCUUGGUCUAAAGGCGUCCUGAAUGAGGAACACUUUGCAUUUAACUGGGCUGCAGGAGAGAGAGGAGGGGCAGUCUGUCUCGGAGAGGACUAGCGUUCCUAGAUGAGCCAUUCAUCUCUCCACAGUGAUGAGUAACCUUGAAGAUUGCUCAAUCGCUGCCAUGCUGAAGACGCUGAAGAUGGCGCAGCAGACAGCCCGGCUCCGUGGCAGAAUCAGGCCACUGAGGCUGAGAGGCGAGAGUUGCCACUGGCAUUUGUUGGGCAAUAGCUGAGAAUCUGCUUCUCUGUGGCAGCUGCUGGUGAUGCACAGCUCCCUCCUAGACAUGCUGUUUAGUGCUCUGUAAGGGUCUGGCUCGUUUCUCUCCUAUUCAGAAGCCCAUAUUGUUGGCUUGAGAUUAAUCUAAUUGCAAUAAGCAGGUUUGGAAAAUAACUGCUUGGACCCCACUCCAGACCAAUAGAAUCUAACGUCUGUGGGUAGACCUGGGAGUUGCACAGUUUAAAAGUUCCCCAGAUGUUUCAGGUACGCAAAGAGGGUGAAAGGCCACUGCUUGCAAUUGAGUUCUUUUGUUUUCAUCCUGAUCUGCAGGCUCUCUCUGUCCCACCCAACCUGUAUCAUUUCAUUUUCACUGUCCUUCCUUUCACUGUGAUCUACUGCAUUGGCUACGUUCUAAUAAAAUUGGUUGGCUGAAUGAUUUGACCAUCCCAAAAGUGUCUAUUGAAAUCCACUGUAUGCCAGAUGCUGGUAUUAAAAGGGCAGAUGCAGUAGGAGUAAGAAGAGACAAAGUCCUUGCUUCCACAGAACGUGUAUUUUUGUAUAAGGGAGAAGGAAAUAAGCCAAUAAACAACAUUCAUGGGUAGAGAUGAGAAAAAUCUAUCAGGGAGGGAUGUGUAAGAGUGACAGGUAGUCAGGGAAAGUGACAUUUGAGCAGACACCUGAAUGAAGCAAAGUCACCACCAUAUGGACAUGUGAAAGUAGAAUAUUUCGGAGGGAGAACAGAAAUUAUCAAGAUGCUAAAUGAGCAUUAAUGAGCAUAGGUACCCUUUUGUUCAUUCCUUUCCACCUUCAAUAACACCUCAUUCUAUACAUAUGGUCCAUCACAUCCUGGUCCUAACUAGUUUCUUUUUUUGUUUCUUUGUUUUUUUCCAGUACCGGUAAUCGAACUCA